rfam:Hordeum vulgare subsp. vulgare, WGS project CAJW01000000 data, contig: morex_contig_56642
GCCCGUCUAGCUCAGUCGGUAGAGCGCAAGGCUCUUACCCUUGUGGUCUUGGGUUCGAGCCCCA